rnacentral:rRNA from 1 species
AUGCCUCUGGACUUCACAAAGCACUUCUUCGCGGUGCCGACGAAGUUCAAGCUCAGGAACAACACCGGCUGCUCCUGGAAGGUGACGGUCAAGCUGAUGAACAACGGGGUGACCCUGUAUCAGGGUUGGGCCACCUACGCAGUCGUUCAUCACAUUAAGAUCGGCUACAUGGUGACGUUCAAGCUCCUCACUCCCGACACCCUCGAGGUCAUCAUCUUCGACGAGGAUAACAUUGAGGUCAUCAACAAGGAGUAGGGCCGGGCCACCUCUUUCCAUCGUACUAUCUGA